rnacentral:rRNA from 1 species
UACGUAGGGAGCAAGCGUUGUCCGGAAUCAUUGGGCGUAAAGCGCGCGUAGGUGGUCUCGUAAGUCCGCUGUGAAAGUCAAAGGCUCAACCUUUGAAAGCCGGUGGAUACUGUGGGACUAGAGUACGGAAGAGGCGAGUGGAAUUCCUGGUGUAGCGGUGGAAUGCGCAGAUAUCAGGAGGAACACCAAUAGCGAAGGCAGCUCGCUGGGACGUUACUGACACUGAGGCGCGAAAGCGUGGGGAGCAAACAGG